rnacentral:rRNA from 1 species
UAAAAACCCCGACUUCGGAAGGGGUGUAUUUAUUAGAUACAAAACCAAUGCCCUUCGGGGCUCUUUGGUGAUUCAUGAUAACUAUACGAAUCGCACGGCCUUGCGCCGGCGAUGGUUCGUUCAAAUUUCUUCCCUAUCAACUUUCGAUGUUUGGGUAUUGGCCAAACAUGGUUGCAACGGGUAACGGAGGGUUAGGGCUCGACCCCGGAGAAGGAGCCUGAGAAACGGCUACUACAUCCAAGGAAGGCAGCAGGCGCGCAAAUUACCCAAUCCCGACUCGGGGAGGUAGCGACAAUAAAUACUGAUACAGGGCCCUUUCGGGCCUUGUAAUUGGAAUGAGUACAAUUUAAAUCCCUUAACGAGGAACAAUUGGAGGGCAAGUCUGGUGCCAGCAGCCGCGGUAAUUCCAGCUCCAAUAGCGUACAUUAAAGUUGUUGUGGUUAAAAAGCUCGUAGUUGAACCUUGGGCCUGGCUGGCCGGUCCGCCUCACCGCGUGCACUGGUCCGGCCGGGCCUUUCCCUCUGUGGAACCCCAUACCCUUCACUGGGCGUGGCGGGGAAACAGGACAUUUACUUU